AUUACACCAAUUAUCUCAUUCUUAGAGAGAGAGAGAGAGAGAGAGAGAGAGAGAGAGAGAGAGAGAGAGAGAGACCUGUUACGCCGCGCUCAGAAACCCACAACACUCGCGCAUCUCACCCAGUCACCCGCCAACCGUCAGAGAGGGAGGAAGUCGCGCGUCACCUCUCCCGCUGCUCCCUCCCCCUAACCCAUCAUCUAACGCCCAUUUUCCCGCCCACGCGCAACUGGUAGACACGUGGGCGGGAUGAGAAGUACACGCCACUCUGAAAACUCCCUGUGCGUGGGUGGAAGGGCGUAAAGUGAAGGGGAAAGGAGAAAUUUGAUAAAAGAUGUGAGAGGUGAAGUUGUGUUAUGGCGGUGCAGCGAACUGAUAAUAGUAACGAUAAUAAUAAUAAUAGUGGUAGUGAUAAUAGUCCAGGUGGAAAUGGUGAAGGGGGUGUGUCGUUAUAGCGAAGGAUAGUCUUUUCAGUGGUUGUGAUAGUCAGGUUCAUUAUAAAUAGUAAAUAGUAGUAAUAGUUGUGAUAAUAAUAAUAAUGAUAAUAAUAAUAAUAAAAAUAAAUGGAAAAGUUGAAAUAAAAAGAAAAAAAAAUCGAUAAAGUGAAACAGAAACAACAACAACAACAACAACAACAACAACAAUAAUAAUAAUAAUAAUAAUAAUAAUAAUGAAUUACCUAUGGCAAUUAUAUCUGUGGGUUUCAAUAAACAUCUGCAUUUUUCACCAUACAAAAAUUACACGUCUGGUGGAGGCAAGACUGGAAGAAGAGAUGGAGGAACAACCGCCGCGACCCCCUCCACCUCUGCCUCCACCUCUCCAUCCCCCCACACCACCACCACCACCACCACCACCACCACCACGCCCCUGCCUUCCUCCCGCCUCUGCCACGGACGGGAAGGGCAGACUGUGGGUGAUCACAGCUAUUGGGACACCGCCAACCACUUUCCUAACCUACAUCACCACCACCACCAUCACCACCACCACCACCACGCCCACGCCCUUACCCGCACGCCCACAGCAUCUCUGCCAGUGGAACAAAAACCUUUUCGCAAUAUACAAAGACACUAUAUGGGUACUUAGAAACGCCUCAUUGACUUGGACACGCUUACAGACAUACCCACCACCCAUACCAAAGAUGUAUGGGGUAUGGUGUGGCCGUAGAGGCGAGAUAUGGGUGCUGGGGAGUAACGGUUUGCAUCACAUGGGGAGUAAGGGAACAUGGGACACUAUAUCACAACCCAUACAUGUAUAUAGAGGCUCCAUACACACUACAUGGCUGGAUGAUAUAGGUAGACUAUGUAUGGUAAGAGUUCUAGGGAAGGAAGCUAUGUUAGGUCAGUUCUCCGGCCACUGGAAAUGGGUAAAAGCUGAAAUAGGGGGCUUAAAAUGGGUACCAGGGGAUUUUAAUACGAUAUAUGGGUUUACAAAGGGUUAUUUACACGUCCUUGACAUGUCCAGUGGCCGUGUGGUGUCCAGUGUUGCUGUAAAUAGGUCCCCCCAAUUGGUAGUAACAGUUAAGGGUCUUUUUCUAACUGGGUACCCUUGUGACCUCGAAAAUAUUGGUGACCUAGUGAGUAAUUGGGCUGUUCUUCGUGUUCUACGGGCUGAUGGUGGUAGUAGUAGUAGUAGUAGUAGUAGUAGUAGUAGUAGUAGUAGUGGUAUUGUUACUGUUUAUAUUGAUCUAUGUGAUAAUUGUAGUAGUAGUAGUAGUAGAAGUAGUAGGAGUAUUGAUAGUUAUGAAAGCAGUAGUAGUAGUAGUAGUAGUAGUAGUAGUGGUAGUGGUAGUAGUGGUAGACCUAACAGUACUUAUAACAGUAAUAACUAUACCAACUAUAACAGCAGUAGUAGUAGUAGUAGUAGUAGUAGUAGUAGUAGUAGUAGUAGUAGUAGUAAUAGUAGUAGUAAUAGUAGUAGUCUAGUCCAUUUAAAACUCAGGGCGAAAGGAAACACAACAACAACAACAACAACAACAACCACAAGCACCACCACUACCACUAUUCAACCACCACCACCACCACUACUACCACCAUCACCACCACCACCAAGAGGGAGCAAAUAUUCUCAAGUUCACCACAAUCAGACCGAACAACAACAACAACAACAACAACAACAACAACAACAACAACAACAGCAAAAAACCGAAGGAAGAAGAAGAGGAGGAGAAGGAGAAGAAGAGAAGGAAGACUUAAUAUCAGGAAGAGGAAGAGGAGGAGGAGGAGGAAGAGAAGACGAAGCUAAAGAGAAGCCUGAAACGGACAAGAGAGGAGGAGGAGGAGGAGGAGGAGGAGGAGGAGGAGGAGGAAGAGACACUGCCAGAGCUUAUAAUCCUGUGAUCUUCUUCUCUCUCUCUCUCUCUAUCUUCGCUACAGUUGGCAUCGUAAUCUUUGUAAGGAACUGUGUGAGAUGCCCACCCAUAGCAGAAGUAAUGGAAGGAAACCGUGGAGGCGUGGGAGAACGAGGCCCUGACACGAGAAUAGGAGAACUUGGCAUACGGGGAGGCCUAUCUAAAUCCCCUACGCCUAUCCCCGUUCUUUACAGCCUAGUGUCUGAGGAGGGGGAGGAGGAGGAGGAGGAGGAGGAAGAGGAGGAGGAGGAGGGGGGCAGGGAAGUACAGUAUCACCUAGUUUAUCACAAAUGGCGUUUCAUGACGGGACGGAGACAACAGUUCUAGAUUCACCAAGCGGGGGAACACCAAUGUACACACCUGAAUCUAAUACUCCUGAUGUUUCUCCGAGUUAUGGGGGUGUCAGGUCCUCCCUAACUCCUGCGGCAUUCCCUACUGAUCCUGUCUCCUUCGCUGUUACUCAUGCAGCUGAUGAUGUGAUUACCAUUGCCACUAAUAGCUGCUGUGUUUAUGCUAAGUACCUUCCUAACUACCACGAGGUUAUUGAUGAGUUAGGAGCGGGUCUUGGGCUGAGUGGUGUUAGUGGUCACGGUCCUGCUGUUACGACUACUGCUACUACUACUGCUACUACUACUACUACUUCUUGUACGACUAAUUUCUAAGUUUUGUUCGUUAUUACUUAUUUAUUUUUAUUAUUACUACUACUAUUAUUACUUUAAAAUAUGUCAAUUAUAUAAUCUUUUCUUCCAUGUCCCUAAUUCAUCACGUCUUUUCUCCUUCUUCCCUUAAAUUAUCAUGUAUUUUCUUACUUCUCACUUGUUUAUCAGUUAUUUAUCUUCAUUCCUCUUUAUUCUCGUGUUCCUUCGCCCUCUUGAUAAGGCGUAGGAAAGAAAAAGUUAAAAUUAUCACUUAUAUCGCCUUGUUCUGUAAAUGUAAACAAACUGAAGGGUAAACAUUGCCUCGUGGUCCGUCAAAUGAGCGUCUGUCUGUCUUAUCAAAUGAAAAACUGUAUUUAUUUAUUUAUUUAUUUAUUUAUCUGUUUUUCUGUGUAUAUAUAUUUUCUUUAUUUAUGAUUGAUUUAGUGUUUUUAUUUUUAUUAUUGUUAUUUUCUUUUUUUCUCUUUUUUUUAGGUUUCGUAUAAGCGUUUGCAAUUUCACACGUUAGUCAAAUGAGUAAUUAUCGUACUUCAUUCCCAAUAUAUACUUUUUAAAUAAUUUCUCUCUCUCUCUCUCUCUCUCUCUCUCUCUCUCUCUCUCUCUCUCUCUCUCUCUCUCUCUCUCUCUCUCUCUCUCUCUCUCUCUCUCUCAUUAAUAUUGUUAUUUGUUUUGUAUUUUUUCGUAAAAUUUUUAUAUAUAUCACAUGUUAGUCAAAUGAGUAACUAUUGUAUUAUAUUAUUCAUAUAUUUUUUAAUCAUUAUUUUUUAUUCAUUUUGUUGUUAUUAUUGUUGUUAAUGUUUGUUUCUAUUGCUACUUUAUUUUUUUUUAAG